rnacentral:rRNA from 1 species
GUAGGGAAUAUUGCGCAAUGGGGGAAACCCUAACGCAGCGACGCCGCGUGAGUGAUGAAGGCCUUCGGGUCGUAAAGCUCUGUUGCAGGGGAAUAAAAAAAUGAAGGUACCCUGUGAGGAAGGAUCGGCUAACUUCGUGCCAGCAGCCGCGGUAAGACGAGGGAUCCUAGCGUUGCUCGGAAUCAUUGGGCGUAAAGAGGGCGUAGGUGGCUUGGUAAGUCAGGUGUGAAAGCCCAGGGCUCAACCCUGGAAGUGCAUUUGAUACUGCUGAGCUUGAGUGUCGGAGAGGUUACCGGAAUACCUGGUGUAGUGGUGAAAUACGUAGAUAUCAGGUGGAACACCGGAGGCGAAGGCGGGUAACUGGACGAACACUGACACUGAGGCCCGAAAGCGUGGGGAUCAAACAGGAUUAGAUACCCUAGUAGUCC